rnacentral:piRNA from 2 species
UGGGUAUGGAGGAGGACCUGGAGGUGGCA